CAAAUCUUAUUUUGUCGUGCACCCAAAUGACUGGCCCAUGAACUAACAGUCACCUCAGCGUUGGGGUCUUGCUGAGAUAACCCAAAGAACGUGGCGACGUAGGAUGGCUGUACUUCUGGGUGAUAAAUACCUCACUUAUGAGGAUUAAAAUGUCCACCAGGGCAUUCUCUUUAUAACUGGCUUUGUCCCAAGAGAACCCAUGUAGAAUUUGUUGUUAUUGUUUGCUUGCAGUUGGGGUUGGGGAAGGACAGGGUCCCAUCUUCUCAUGAAGACUAAGUUGACCGGAAUUGUUGCCGUGCUGGACAGAAUCCAAAUUACCUGCAACUGUAUCCAUCAUGGGCUCUGGGAGCUAAGUGGAUUCCCGAAGCUUGGAUCUAAACUGUGCUGAGAGAGAUCAGUGCAAAUGUGGCCGAGGGACUUGGGUUUUCCUUUUACUGCUGAAUCUGGUUUUCUUGAGUUUCAGCACCAGUGUGGCAGCGUUUGGCUUGCUGGGCAUCAGGCACACGAAUCUGAGAUUAAGAAGUUCGGUAUCAAUGGUCGCCCACCUUUCCUUCUGGAUGAUCAAGAGGAAACAAGAAGGUCAUCUAACAUGGCUUCUCGGGCCAGGAGAUGUGCGCUGUAAUCAAAGGGCAGUAGGAUCCUGGCUCAAUUCUUGUGUGACUUCCCAGGGCCGCAAGGAUGGAGGUGCCAGGCUAAGGCUGGCCAGUUUCUUGAUGCUAACCCUAACCUUGUUUUUGUGGUUCCUCCUGGCCUGGUCUCUCAUUUUGAGAGACCCCUCUCCCUAGGUAAGUCCCCUCUGUUUUUCCCCCGUCUCAGCUGAUCUUCAUGGAGCAGAUUUUAUCUAAUCUUUAAGGUGUUGUUUUUGGUCCUUGUUUAUUCUCUCUUUCCAAUCUGUUGUUAAGUUUGCACCUUUAGUGACUCCUUUUUUCCAAGUGAGUUUUAAGAUUGUUCGCUCUCC
rnacentral:lncRNA from 1 species